rnacentral:rRNA from 1 species
AACGAACGCUGGCGGCGUGGCUAAGACAUGCAAGUCGAACGGACUGGUCAAUUUAUUGAACAGUUAGUGGCGAAAGGGUUAGUAACGGGUAGGUAACGUGCCCUGUGCUUCGGGAUAGCGUCAGUCCCUUCGGGGACUUUCCGAAAGGGGCGGUAAUACCGGAUAAUAUCAUUUGUCGAUAGGCAAAUGAUCAAAGAUUUAUCGGCGCGGGAGCGGCCUGCCUCCUAUCAGCUUGUUGGUGGGGUAACGGCUCACCAAGGCAACGACGGGUAGCGGGACUGAGAGGUUGACCCGCAACAUCGGGACUGAGACACUGCCCGGACCUCCACGGAGGGCUGCAGUAACGGAUAUUGUGCAAUGGGCGA